UACGUAGGGUGCGAGCGUUAAUCGGAAUUACUGGGCGUAAAGCGUGCGCAGGCGGCUUUGCAAGACAGAUGUGAAAUCCCCGGGCUCAACCUGGGAACUGCAUUUGUGACUGCAAGGCUAGAGUACGGCAGAGGGGGAUGGAAUUCCGCGUGUAGCAGUGAAAUGCGUAGAUAUGCGGAGGAACGCCAAUGGCGAAGGCAAUCCCCUGGGCCUGUACUGACGCUCAUGCACGAAAGCGUGGGGAGCAAACAGG
rnacentral:rRNA from 1 species